GACGAACGCUGGCGGCGUGCUUAACACAUGCAAGUCGAACGGAAAGGCCCUGCUUUUGUGGGGUGCUCGAGUGGCGAACGGGUGAGUAACACGUGAGUAACCUGCCCUUGACUUUGGGAUAACUUCAGGAAACUGGGGCUAAUACCGGAUAGGAGCUCCUGCUGCAUGGUGGGGGUUGGAAAGUUUCGGCGGUUGGGGAUGGACUCGCGGCUUAUCAGCUUGUUGGUGGGGUAGUGGCUUACCAAGGCUUUGACGGGUAGCCGGCCUGAGAGGGUGACCGGCCACAUUGGGACUGAGCUACGGCCCAGACUCCUACGGGAGGCAGCAGUGGGGAAUAUUGCACAAUGGGCGGAAGCCUGAUGCAGCAACGCCGCGUGCGGGAUGACGGCCUUCGGGUUGUAAACCGCUUUCGCCUGUGCCGAAGCGUGAGUGACGGUAAUGGGUAAAGAAGCACCGGCUAACUACGUG
rnacentral:rRNA from 1 species